GGCAUGGUGGCUUAGUGGUUAGCACUUGCACCUCAGGGGUUGGGGGUUUGAAUCCCAUCUCUGCCC